rnacentral:misc_RNA from 1 species
CACCACUCAAGCCUCGCUUGGUCUUGGGCGCCGCGGUCCGCCGCGCGCCCCAAUGUCUCCGGCUGAGCCGUCCGUCUCUAAGCGUUGUGAACAACUGUUCGCUUGCGAGGCCGGGCCGGUUCAAUCGCCGUUAAACCCCCCAAUUUUUCA